AAUUGGAUUAUUAUUCAUUAAAUUGGAUUAUUAUCAAAUUGGAUUAUUAUUCAUUAAAUUGGAUUAUUAUCAAAUUGGAUUAUUAUUCAUUAAAUUGGAUUAUUCAUUAAAUUGGAUUAUUAUCAAAUUGGAUUAUUAUUCUUUAAUAUUAGGUUUUAUUAUGAAAUUGGAUUAUUUUUCAUUAAUAUUAGGUUUUUUUUUAUCAAAUUGGAUUAUUAUUCAUUAAAUUGGAUUAUUAUCAAAUUGGAUUAUUAUUCAUCACCAUGUUUUAUAUUAGGAUUAUUUUUUUUAUCAAAUUGGAUUAUUAUUCAUUAAUAUUAGGUUUUAUUAUCAAAUUGGAUUAUUAUU
rnacentral:lncRNA from 1 species